rnacentral:tRNA from 2 species
GCUGGUGUGGCUCAAUGGUAGAGCAGCUGAUUUGUAAUCAGCAGGUUGAUGGUUCGAUUCCGUUCACCAGCU